UCCGGCUUAUCACCGGCAGUCCCUCUAGAGUGCCCAACUAAAUGAUGGCAACUAAGGACAAGGGUUGCGCUCGUUGCGGGACUUAACCCAACAUCUCACGACACGAGCUGACGACAGCCAUGCAGCACCUGUGUUCUGGUUCCCGAAGGCACUCCCGCAUCUCUGCGGGGUUCCCCAGAUGUCAAGGGCAGGUAAGGUUUUUCGCGUUGCAUCGAAUUGAACCACAUGCUCCACCGCUUGUGCGGGCCCCCGUCAAUUCCUUUGAGUUUCAGCCUUGCGGCCGUACUCCCCAGGCGGGGCACUUAAUGCGUUAGCGCCGGCACCCAGGGGGUCGCUCCCCCAGGCACCUAGUGCCCAUCGUUUACGGCGUGGACUAC
rnacentral:misc_RNA from 1 species